UAUGCCUUCGAUUAAACCUCUCCUGGAAGUUCGAGCAGUAAAGUUUGCGAGUGGCGCUGUUAGCGUUUCGGAAUCUAGAGGAUGGUCGACUGACGGAUUUCGUUCUUGUUUGAAGACCAUGUGGCCAACGGUGCUCUUCCUUCUUCAAGGUGUGGCAGGAAGUUGGGAGGAAUGGUGGACCUAUGAUGGCAUAUCAGGUCCAGACUUCUGGGGAUUGUUAAAUCCUGAGUGGAGCUUCUGUACAAAAGGCCGCAGGCAAUCUCCGAUCGAUCUUGAUCCGUCAGUUCUACUGUAUGACCCACACCUGAAAAGUCUAAAUAUCGACAAAUUUAGGGUGAGUGGAACGAUUAUGAAUACAGGCCAUAGUGUCAUAUUCCGUUCUGAAUCCUUGGAUCCUGAAACAGUAGUUAACAUCACUGAGGGGCCUUUGUCAUACAGGUAUCGUUUCGAAGAAAUUCACUUACAUUACGGGAGGACAGAUGAUAGAGGAUCAGAGCAUACAAUCGCUGGUUAUUCAUUCCCAGCAGAAUUACAGAUAUUCGGCUACAAUUCAGACUUAUAUAACAACAUAUCUGAAGCUUUGGCAGUACGGAGAAGUGAAGGCAUGGUGGGAAUUGCAGUUCUUUUACAAGUGGGAGAUUUAUCGAAUGCUGAACUCAGAAUACUUACCAGUCAACUCCAUAGGAUAAUAUAUAGAGGUCAAGAAGCGUAUUUACAGCACUUGUCUGUGAGAAAUCUUUUACCUGACACAAGACAUUUUAUGACAUACGAAGGAUCUCUGACCAUGCCUGGAUGUCAAGAAACAGUAACGUGGAUUGUCAUGAAUCGACCUAUUUAUAUCACUAAGCAACAGCUCUACAUUCUGCGGAAGUUAGUGCAAGGUGUCGAAAAUAGUCCAAAAGCUCCCUUAGGAAAUAAUUUUCGACCUCCUAUGCCACUGAACCAAAGAGUCGUCAGGACAAAUAUUGACUUCCGGAGAGCUCAGGGUAAGAAGUGUCCAACUAUGCACAGUGAUAUGCGCUACGAAGCUAGGAAAUGGAACCAGAGCCCAUGACAAUGGCUGCUAAAUCAAUAGUGUCACCAUCAAGAAACUACUCCUGGAGAACUAUGUUCCUAUCCCUCUCCUGCUCAAUCACCAUGGUUUAGCACUCCUAUUUUAUAACGGUUCGCCCAGACACUCAUAGACGAACAUCUUUCGAAGGAAUUUUUAAGAAAUCUUUUUACUACGAGCUUCAUACUAUAUUUGGAUCUUCGAAAGAAAUCUUAAAUGACUGGUUUUGGGCUUCUUGAGAAAGCUGCUCUGGUGUCUUCUCUGAGCUGGACUUUCAACUAGACAAAGGAAUGACCCUAGUUCAGCUUAAACUCAGAAAUUUCAAAAUAUAGUGUUGAUAAUGUACUUAACUGGAAUACAAUUCUAUCAUGCAAAUACAUUUUACCAAGUCAUAAAAUUGUACAUAUUAACAGGUGGCACGUUUCUAUAUUGAAAAUAUAAUUCGAGUUUAUAAAACUGUCUUUUUCUUCUGAAAGAUAAUUAAACGGAGAAGAGUGAA